UUUGGAUCCUCCUUCAUAUAUUAAAAUUGAAAUGAUACAGAGAAGAUUGGCAUGGCCCCUGUGUAAAGAUGACAUGAAAACUUGUGAAGUGUUAGAUUUUUUU